rnacentral:rRNA from 1 species
GCAUAUCAAAUAAGCGGAGGAAAAGAAACUAACAAGGAUUCCCCUAGUAACGGCGAGUGAACCGGGAAGAGCUCAAAUUUGAAAUCUGGCGUCCUCAGGGCGUCCGAGUUGUAAUCUAUAGAGGCGUUUUCCGUGCCGGACCGUGUCCAAGUUCCUUGGAACAGGAUAUCAAAGAGGGUGACAAUCCCGUACUUGACACGACGACCGGUGCUCUGUGAUACGUCUUCUACGAGUCGAGUUGUUUGGGAAUGCAGCUCAAAAUGGGUGGUGAGUUCCAUCUAAAGCUAAAUAUUGGCGAGAGACCGAUAGCGAACAAGUACCGUGAGGGAAAGAUGAAAAGCACUUUGGAAAGAGAGUUAAACAGUACGUGAAAUUGUUGAAAGGGAAACGAUUGAAGUCAGUCGUGACCGAGAGGCUCAGCCGGUUCUGCCGGUGUAUUCCCCUCGGUCGGGUCAACAUCAGUUUUGUCCGGUGGAUAAGGGCGGUAGGAAGGUGGCACCCUCGGGUGUGUUAUAGCCUGCCGUCGCAUACAUCGGGUGAGACUGAGGAACGCAGCUCGCCUUUAUGGCCGGGGUUCGCCCACGUCCGAGCUUAGGAU